AACGAACGCUGGCGGCAUGCCUAACACAUGCAAGUCGAACGAGACCUUCGGGUCUAGUGGCGCACGGGUGCGUAACGCGUGGGAAUCUACCCUCAGGUUCGGAAUAACUCAGAGAAAUUUGAGCUAAUACCGGAUGAUGACGUAAGUCCAAAGAUUUAUCGCCUGAGGAUGAGCCCGCGUAGGAUUAGGUAGUUGGUGAGGUAAAGGCUCACCAAGCCGACGAUCCUUAGCUGGUCUGAGAGGAUGAUCAGCCACACUGGGACUGAGAUACGGCCCAGACUCCUACGGGAGGCAGCAGUGGGGAAUAUUGGACAAUGGGCGAAAGCCUGAUCCAGCAAUGCCGCGUGAGUGAUGAAGGCCUUAGGGUUGUAAAGCUCUUUUACCCGGGAUGAUAAUGACAGUACCGGGAGAAUAAGCUCCGGCUAACUCCGUG
rnacentral:rRNA from 1 species